GAGAACACUGUUUCUCGUCCUGGCACUGCUGUAGCCGGGCUCGCCGAGCAGGAGCCGGAUGACAGGCAGGUCCGGUCAGAAGCGGGAAUACACAAGGAUGGAUUUGCCUGGAGCUGGGAGACUUACAGAUUCCCUUUGGGGGGGCCCUCGGCGGUGGGACAUGAGUGCUGGUCAAUCCUUCUCCUUCUCCCUAACUCCUUGACACACAUUCCCCUUUUCAUUUCCCCUGGAAGACGUCAGAACCCAGAAUGUGUGUGGCUGGAGUGUGGCCACAGAUACAGAUACAGCUGUAUCAGCUGGUCACAACCUUCUGGAGGAAGACACUCCACGUUUUGGAUGAAGAUCACCGUCUAUGGGGUCGCACAGAGUCGGACACAAACGAAGCGACUUAGCAGCACUAGCACCAGUCAAUACAGAGAUAAUAAAUAUCCCAAGGAG